rnacentral:rRNA from 1 species
GCACAGGUUUACCUGUGUGACUGCGUACCUUUUGUAUAAUGGGUCAGCGACUUAUAUUCUGUAGCAAGGUUAACCGAAUAGGGGAGCCGGAGGGAAACCGAGUCUUAAUUGGGCGUUAAGUUGCAGGGUAUAGACCCGAAACCCGGUGAUCUAGCCAUGGGCAGGUUGAAGGUUGGGUAACACUAACUGGAGGACCGAACCGACUAAUGUUGAAAAAUUAGCGGAUGACCUGUGGCUGGGGGUGAAAGGCCAAUCAAACCGGGAGAUAGCUGGUUCUCCCCGAAAGCUAUUUAGGUAGCGCCUCGUGAAUUCAUCUCCGGGGGUAGAGCACUGUUUCGGCUAGGGGGCCAUCCCGGCUUACCAACCCGAUGCAAACUGCGAAUACCGGAGAAUGUUAUCACGGGAGACACACGGCGGGUGCUAACGUCCGUCGUGAAGAGGGAAACAACCCAGACCGCCAGCUAAGGUCCCAAAGUCAUGGUUAAGUGGGAAACGAUGUGGGAAGGCCCAGACAGCCAGGAUGUUGGCUUAGAAGCAGCCAUCAUUUAAAGAAAGCGUAAUAGCUCACUGGUCGAGUCGGCCUGCGCGGAAGAUGUAACGGGGCUAAACCAUGCACCGAAGCUGCGGCAGCGACGCUGAUGCGUUGUUGGGUAGGGGAGCGUUCUGUAAGCCUG